rnacentral:rRNA from 1 species
UACGUAGGGUUCGAGCGUUGUCCGGAAUUAUUGGGCGUAAAGAGCUUGUAGGCGGUUUGUCGCGUCUGCUGUGAAAAUCCGGGGCUCAACCCCGGACUUGCAGUGGGUACGGGCAGACUAGAGUGUGGUAGGGGAGACUGGAAUUCCUGGUGUAGCGGUGAAAUGCGCAGAUAUCAGGAGGAACACCGAUGGCGAAGGCAGGUCUCUGGGCCACUACUGACGCUGAGAAGCGAAAGCAUGGGGAGCGAACAGG